rnacentral:tRNA from 1 species
UGGAAUGUAGCUUUGUGACAGAGUGUGUGCUUAACAUGCAUAAGGCCCUGGGUUCAAUCCCCAGCACCAA